CGCAGAGCUCGAAAUUUGAGAAGAGAAGAGCCAACAACUUUGCCGUUGCAUCCAGUCGUAUUAAUUUAAAAGGUACCCCGUAAUCGCCUUAAAACAACCCUUGCCCAUAACGAGACUUAUCAAGGGAAUAGUGUUUUGGUUGAACUAGAAAAAGACGCGAAGUUUAUAGAUACAAUGGUUAUUGUAAAAACAAAUAACAGGAAAAUUCCACACAGAUGUGCUUUGCCAUCUGCGUAUAAUAAUUGUUCUCCAUGGGCCUGGGACUGGUGGCUUAAAUAUGGCCAAGAUGACGUCAUCAUCAAAGGAGAGGAGACUGCGCAACAGCAUACAACCAACACUGCUGACCAAGAGCAGGCUUCGACAGACCUCUCCGAAAAUAAAAAUUUACGACAAAACUAAAUGUAGUUUGAUUCAGAACGAGCCAAUUCGCCAAGCUAGCUUGGUACUUUUAUUUAGGGUGAGAAUUUCAAUUUCGAAGUUUCUCAACAGCACGAAUUCUUGGUCUGUUGUUGAUGGGCCGUUAUCAGUUUUAUCAUGCCACCUUCACAGUUUAAAUGCGCUGUAUAAACGUGAAAUGAACGUACAACCAUCCAGUGAUACUGGUGCAGUACUGUAAACAACAGAACCACUGAGAGCAGGUCUUUUUGUGAGUUCAGGCUUUGCUCUCACAUCUUUCUUAGACUAUAUGUUUAUAACAUCGAUGAUCUUUUAAAAUUCAUCUCCGUCUGAUCGAUAUCCUUAUCAAGUUAACCCACACACAUAGGUUAUUGUUUGUUAUUAUCUUUUAUGCUACACUUUCGGUUAAACAACUGUUUAGAUAUUGAUUAAAUGUCAGAAGUUAUCCUGUUCGAAAAUAUGUCUUCUACCUUCCCUCGUCAAGAAAACGAUGUCGUUAAG
rnacentral:lncRNA from 1 species